UGGGGACUGGUCCCUGGGCCUGGUGGGAUCCCUGGAUUGUGCACAACAGGCUGGGCUGGUGCAGAGAUCUCUAUGGAUAUGGGAUUCCCCUCUGCCACUCCUGUGUGAGAAUGGAGCUGGCAGCUCCUUCUCUCAAGGCCAGAUGCAUUUCCCUUUCUUGUUACUGCAAAGAUUCUUCAGCUGGGCGCCGGGCUGGGGAAAAGAGACUUUCCAGCUUUUCUCGAAGUCACUCUGACCAGCAGAGAUCCUGACACGGCUCUGGUGGAGCUGAGAGCCCCCGCAGGGCUGCUUGGAGCUCGGGGGCUCCUUCUCUGCCCGAACUCCUCGGCUUUGCUGCAGGUGAAUGUCCCUGCCCGGAGCCCCCUCCCCAGUUCCAGCUGAACGCUGUGAAACGCAGCGGGGGCGGAGGGAAAAAUCCCAAACAACAACUGGACGCUGCCAGAGGAUGCAGCAGGCGGCUCGGAACAGAAAUGGCCAAGCGCUGCCAGCAGCCAGGGGCUUGUUGGUGGCACAGAUCCGCGGGGAGCAAAGAAAGGCUGUGUGCCAGCUGAGCCCAGCGCUGCCCCGCUGCCUCCUCCUCGGUGCUUUCCAGUAAAUCUCUUAAAAUAACUGGAAUAAAUCAAUAACUGCA